AGUGAACGCUGGCGGUAGGCCUAACACAUGCAAGUCGAACGGCAGCACAGUAAGAGCUUGCUCUUACGGGUGGCGAGUGGCGGACGGGUGAGGAAUACAUCGGAAUCUGCUUUUUCGUGGGGGAUAACGUAGGGAAACUUACGCUAAUACCGCAUACGACCUACGGGUGAAAGCAGGGGAUCUUCGGACCUUGCGCGAUUGAAUGAGCCGAUGUCGGAUUAGCUAGUUGGCGGGGUAAAGGCCCACCAAGGCGACGAUCCGUAGCUGGUCUGAGAAGAUGAUCAGCCACACUGGAACUGAGACACGGUCCAGACUCCUACGGGAGGCAGCAGUGGGGAAUAUUGGACAAUGGGCGCAAGCCUGAUCCAGCCAUACCGCGUGGGUGAAGAAGGCCUUCGGGUUGUAAAGCCCUUUUGUUGGGAAAGAAAAGCAGCAGGUUAAUACCCCGCUGUUCUGACGGUACCCAAAGAAUAAGCACCGGCUAACUUCGUG
rnacentral:rRNA from 1 species